rnacentral:rRNA from 1 species
AUUGAACGCUGGCGGCAGGCCUAAUACAUGCAAGUCGAACGGUGUCUUCGGACAUAGUGGCGCACGGGUGCGUAACACGUAUGCAACCUACCUUACAUUGGGGGAUAGCCUUUCGAAAGGGAGAUUAAUACCGCAUAAGACAGUAGCUGGGCAUCCAGCAGCUGUUAAAGAUUUAUCGAUGUAAGCUGGGCAUGCGUCCAAUUAGCUAGUUGGUGAGGUAACGGCUCACCAAGGCAAUGAUUGGUAGGGGAACUGAGAGGUCAAUCCCCCACACUGGCACUGAGAUACGGGCCAGACUCCUACGGGAGGCAGCAGUAGGGAAUAUUGGGCGAUGGACGCAAGUCUGACCCAGCCAUGCCGCGUGCAGGAUGAAGGCGUUAUGCGUUGUAAACUGCUUUUAUACAGGAAGAAACGACUCUUGCGAGAGGCAUUGACGGUACUGUAUGAAUAAGCACCGGCUAACUCCGUGCCAGCAGCCGCGGUAACAC